UACGGAAGGCAGCAGUGGGGAAUAUUGCACAAUGGGCGCAAGCCUGAUGCAGCCAUGCCGCGUGUAUGAAAAAGGCCUUCGGGUUGUAAAGUACUUUCAGUCGUGAGGAAGGUGUUAAGGUUAAUAACCUUAGCAAUUGACGUUAGCGACAGAAGAAGCACCGGCUAACUCCGUGCCAGCAGCCGCGGUAAUACGGAGGGUGCGAGCGUUAAUCGGAAUUACUGGGCGUAAAGGGCACGCAGGCGGUUAAUUAAGUUGGAUGUGAAAUCCCCGGGCUUAACCUGGGAAUGGCAUUCAAGACUAGUUAGCUAGAGUCUUGUAGAGGGGGUAGAAUUCCAUGUGUAGCGGUGAAAUGCGUAGAGAUGUGGAGGAAUACCGGUGGCGAAGGCGGCCCCUGGACAAAGACUGACGCUCAUGUGCGAAAGCGUGGGGAGCAAACAGGGAUUAGAUACC
rnacentral:rRNA from 1 species